UACGUAGGGCGCAAGCGUUGUCCGGAAUUAUUGGGCGUCAAGAGCUCGUAGGCGGCCUGUUGCGUCCGCUGUGAAAUCCCGGGGCUCAACCCCGGGCCUGCAGUGGAUACGGGCUGGCUAGAGGCAGGCAGGGGAGAACGGAAUUCCUGGUGUAGCGGUGAAAUGCGCAGAUAUCAGGAGGAACACCGGUGGCGAAGGCGGUUCUCUGGGCCUGUACUGACGCUGAGGAGCGAAAGCGUGGGGAGCGAACAGG
rnacentral:rRNA from 1 species